rnacentral:rRNA from 1 species
GAUGAACGCUGGCGGCGUGCUUAAUACAUGCAAGUCGAACGGAGUAUGUAGCAAUAUAUACUUAGUGGCGAACGGGUGAGUAACGCGUUGGUGACCUGCCCCGAAGUGUGGGAUAACAGUUCGAAAGGGCUGCUAAUACCGCAUGAGGUCUUAGAGGCUAGAGGCUUUGAGACGAAAGGAGCAAUCCGCUUCGGGAGGGGCCUGCGUCCCAUCAGCUAGUUGGUAAGGUAAAAGCUUACCAAGGCGAAGACGGGUAGGGGGCCUGAGAGGGUGACCCCCCACACUGGCACUGAAACACGGGCCAGACACCUACGGGUGGCAGCAGUAGGGAAUAUUGCACAAUGGGCGAAAGCCUGAUGCAGCAACGCCGCGUGCGCGAAGAAGGUCUUCGGAUCGUAAAGCGCUUUUCGGGGAGAUGA